rnacentral:rRNA from 1 species
GGAUGACGGCCUUCGGGUUGUAAACCGCUUUCGCCUGUGACGAAGCGUGAGUGACGGUAAUGGGUAAAGAAGCACCGGCUAACUACGUGCCAGCAGCCGCGGUGAUACGUAGGGUGCGAGCGUUGUCCGGAUUUAUUGGGCGUAAAGGGCUCGUAGGUGGUUGAUCGCGUCGGAAGUGUAAUCUUGGGGCUUAACCCUGAGCGUGCUUUCGAUACGGGUUGACUUGAGGAAGGUAGGGGAGAAUGGAAUUCCUGGUGGAGCGGUGGAAUGCGCAGAUAUCAGGAGGAACACCAGUGGCGAAGGCGGUUCUCUGGGCCUUUCCUGACGCUGAGGAGCGAAAGCGUGGGGAGCGAACAGGCUUAGAUACCCUGGUAGUCCACGCUGUAAACGGUGGGUACUAGGUGUGGGGUCCAUUCCACGGGUUCCGUGCCGUAGCUAACGCUUUAAGUACCCCGCCUGGGGAGUACGGCCGCAAGGCUAAAACUCAAAGGAAUUGACGG